UACGUAGGGUGCGAGCGUUGUCCGGAAUCAUUGGGCGUAAAGCGCGUGUAGGCGGUUCGGUAAGUCUGCUGUGAAAGUCCAGGGCUCAACCCUGGGAUGCCGGUGGAUACUGCUGGGCUAGAGUACGGAAGAGGCGAGUGGAAUUCCCGGUGUAGCGGUGAAAUGCGCAGAUAUCGGGAGGAACACCUAUUGCGAAGGCAGCUCGCUGGACCGGUUCUGACGCUGAGGCGCGAAAGCGUGGGGAGCAAACGGG
rnacentral:rRNA from 1 species